rnacentral:rRNA from 1 species
CAGUAGCCACGGGAAUACGUAGGUGGCAAGCGUUGUCCGGAAUUAUUGGGCGUAAAGCGCGCGCAGGCGGAUAGGUCAGUCUGUCUUAAAAGUUCGGGGCUUAACCCCGUGAUGGGAUGGAAACUGCCAAUCUAGAGUAUCGGAGAGGAAAGUGGAAUUCCUAGUGUAGCGGUGAAAUGCGUAGAUAUUAGGAGGAACACCAGUGGCGAAGGCGGCUUUCUGGACUGCAACUGACGCUGGGGCUCGAAAGCCAGGGGAGCGAACGGGAUUAGAUACCCGUGUAGUCCCUGUCUCUUAUACA